rnacentral:rRNA from 1 species
GCACAACGCGAAGAACCUUACCAACCCUUGACAUGGCGAUCGCGGCCUCAGAGAUGAGGCUUUCAGCUCGGCUGGAUCGCACACAGGCGCUGCAUGGCUGUCGUCAGCUCGUGUCGUGAGAUGUUCGGUUAAGUCCGGCAACGAGCGCAACCCACAUUCCCAGUUGCCAUCAUUCAGUUGGGCACUCUGGAAAAACUGCCGAUGAUAAGUCGGAGGAAGGUGUGGAUGACGUCAAGUCCUCAUGGCCCUUACGGGUUGGGCUACACACGUGCUACAAUGGCAGUGACAAUGGGUUAAUCCCAAAAAGCUGUCUCAGUUCGGAUUGGGGUCUGCAACUCGACCCCAUGAAGUCGGAAUCGCUAGUAAUCGCGUAACAGCAUGACGCGGUGAAUACGUUCCCGGGUCUUGUACACACCG